UAGGGAAUAUUGGUAAUGUGCGAAAGCGCGAACCAGCAACGCCGCGUGCACGAUGAAGGCCUUCGGGUUGUAAAGUGCUUUUAGAGAGGAUGAGGAAGGACAGUACUUUCUGAAUAAGCCUCGGCUAACUACGUGCCAGCAGCCGCGGUAAAACGUAGGAGGCUAGCGUUAUCCGGAUUUACUGGGCGUAAAGCGCGUGCAGGUGGUUUCGUAAGUUGGAUGUGAAAGCUCCUGGCUUAACUGGGAGAGGUCGUUCAAAACUGCGAGGCUUGAGAGUGGUAGAGGGAGGUGGAAUUCCGGGUGUAGUGGUGAAAUGCGUAGAUAUCCGGAGGAACACCAGUGGCGAAAGCGGCCCCCUGGACCAUUUCUGACACUCAGACGCGAAAGCUAAGGUAGCAAACG
rnacentral:rRNA from 1 species